rnacentral:lncRNA from 1 species
UCCCACUGCGGCGGCCGCCGCCGAGCGCGCUGCGAAGCACCGGCUGCCUCAGCCGGAAGCUGGGACGAGCCGCAGCCCCAGCAACCCCCGGCCGGCCCCGACCCCAAGCCAGCCUUAAAGCCACAGCCGCCCCUCGGGACCCAGAGGAGACGGCCGUGUCCCGCUGCCCGGAUCCGGAUGACGACAACGACGCCGCCCGCCACGGCUCCGGGGGCAGCCAUUUUGCGGCCCGGCGGAUGACAUGUUGUGCGUCGUGCGUGCCGCCGCUCGACGGUGCGGGGCCGCCCCCCGCGCCCGGCGCCUGCGCAGCGCGCCCUGUGGCGGCCGAGCCGGGGCAGCCUGCUCAGCGCCGCGGCGGCGGCGGCGGCUGGAGACAAAGCGCCCAGCUAAUGAAUGGGACGGGCCCGCCCGGCCCUUCCUUUUAACUCCUUCGGGCCCGGCCGGGCGGCGGCGGCAGCGGCGACCUCCGGCUUUCCCUGCGGCGGCCGCCCGGGGAGAUACAAUCAUCUUUGAGUAACAAGUAUUUAACCUCAAAUGAAGCCUCCUGCAUGCAGCGGAGCAGAUAUCUGUGCCCUGCACAGGAGGAAGAGAAGAGCCCAUGGACUAAGCUGAGGAAUUGAUCACUUGGAGAAAAGAGGUGUCAGAGGAGCCUUGCUUUGAGUUUUCUGACACUUUUCUGAAAUCUGAUUGCUGUUCUGUAGCAGCAUGGAGUAAAUGUUGUGUCUUUCAUCUCUAAUUCUUUCAGAACUUAUCUCUUGUUCCUGUGUUUUUGAUUGUGCUUUGUUUCCUGUUACAUGAUAAUACUUAUAUAUGUUUCCAUGCUUCUGUUCUUAUUUUUAACUUUGAAUUUUAGCCUCCUAUUUUGUUUCUAGAACACUUUCCUUCCCUUACCCCCAAACUGUACAGCGUGAGAUAUUGAAAGCAGUUUGGCUUAUAGAAUUAUUUAGGGCAGGACAUCAAAACAGUACAUACUUCAGUUGUUUUAGUUUUUCUCCUUAAUAAAACUUCUUUCUCUCUUCCAGCGUUUCUGAGAAUAGCC